rnacentral:rRNA from 1 species
GAUGAACGCUAGCGGCAGGCUUAAUACAUGCAAGUCGUGGGGCAGCAGGGGUGUAGCAAUACAUUCGCUGGCGACCGGCAAACGGGUGCGUAACACGUACGCAACCUUCCUGUUACUGGGGAAUAGCCCAGGGAAACUUGGAUUAAUACCCCAUAGUAUAUUGGUUAGGCAUCUGACUGAUAUCAAAGCUUCGGCGGUAACAGAUGGGCGUGCGGUUGAUUAGGUAGUUGGCGGGGUAACGGCCCACCAAGCCUACGAUCAAUAGCUGAUGUGAGAGCAUGAUCAGCCACACGGGCACUGAGACACGGGCCCGACUCCUACGGGAGGCAGCAGUAAGGAAUAUUGGGCAAUGGACGAAAGUCUGACCCAGCCAUGCCGCGUGAAGGAUGAAGGUCCUCUGGAUUGUAAACUUCUUUUAUCUGGGGCGAAAAUCGGUUAUUCUUAGCCGCUUGACAGUACCAGAGGAAUAAGCACCGGCUAACUCCGUGCCAGCCGCCGCAGUAA